GAUGAACGCUGGCGGCGUGCUUAACACAUGCAAGUCGAACGAUGAAGCUCAGCUUGCUGGGUGGAUUAGUGGCGAACGGGUGAGUAACACGUGAGUAACCUGCCCUUAACUCUGGGAUAAGCCUGGGAAACUAGGUCUAAUACCGGAUAGGAGCGCCUACCGCAUGGUGGGUGUUGGAAAAAUUUAUCGGUUUUGGAUGGACUCGCGGCCUAUCAGCUUGUUGGUGAGGUAAUGGCUCACCAAGGCGACGACGGGUAGCCGGCCUGAGAGGGUGACCGGCCACACUGGGACUGAGACACGGCCCAGACUCCUACGGGAGGCAGCAGUGGGGAAUAUUGCACAAUGGGCGAAAGCCUGAUGCAGCGACGCCGCGUGAGGGAUGACGGCCUUCGGGUUGUAAACCUCUUUCAGUAGGGAAGAAGCGAAAGUGACGGUACCUGCAGAAGAAGCACCGGCUAACUACGU
rnacentral:rRNA from 1 species